ACAUCCGCAGGAGAAUGGAGGAAGAGACCAGGAAGGAACUGGAUGAGAUGAGAGUGAAGGAUCCAGUCAAAGGCAUGGUGGCUCUUGAAGAUUGAAGCUGCUCUGUAUUCCUGGAUGCUGCUGUUCAUAAAGAUCAGACCUGAACUACUGGAGACCAGCAGCAUCUCUCC